rnacentral:SRP_RNA from 2 species
GCCGAGCUCAUUAGCGGGAGCUUGUAACCCGAGCGGGGGGCUUUAAGGUGGUGUGAACGUUGCCGUAGCGCUGUGGGCCUGGCCCGGUUGUGCUUCUGCUGGUCCCGCCCGUUCCAAGUUGGUAGUGGACCCGCUUGGGGCCUGUGCGAAAGCUAGGCGUCACGGGCUAUAAUGCGGCAGGCAUUGCGUGAGGCUGGUUUAACAGAGCAGCGAAAACUGCCCGCCUUCAACGGUGGAAGGAUAACGGGCCGGCUGCAUAACUGGGCCGCUUGGGUCUCCCAGCCUACUCCAACGAACCACUAUCUUU